rnacentral:rRNA from 1 species
AGUGAACGCUGGCGGUAGGCCUAACACAUGCAAGUCGAACGGCAGCACAGUAAGAGCUUGCUCUUACGGGUGGCGAGUGGCGGACGGGUGAGGAAUACAUCGGAAUCUACUUUUUCGUGGGGGAUCACGUAGGGAAACUUACGCUAAUACCGCAUACGACCUACGGGUGAAAGCAUGGGAUCUUCGGACCUUGCGCGAUUGAAUGAGCCGCUGUCGGAUUAGCUAGUUGGCGGGGUAAUGGCCCACCAAGGCGACGAUCCGUAGCUGGACUGAGAGGAUGGUCAGCCACACUGGAGCUGGGACACGGUCCAGACUCCUACGGGAGGCAGCAGUGGGGAAUAUUGGACAAUGGGCGCAAGCCUGAUCCAGCCAUACCGCGUGGGUGAAGAAGGCCUUCGGUUUGUAAAGCCCUUUUGUUGGGAAAGAAAAGCAGCAGGCUAAUACCCCGCUGUUCUGACGGUACCCAAAGAAUAAGCACCGGCUAACUUCGUG